UGCCAGACUCCUACGGGAGGCAGCAGUGGGGAAUAUUGCACAAUGGGGGAAACCCUGAUGCAGCAACGCCGCGUGAGUGAAGAAGUAUUUCGGUAUGUAAAGCUCUAUCAGCAGGGAAGAAGAUGACGGUACCUGAAUAAGAAGCCCCGGCCAACUACGUGCCAGCAGCCGCGGUAAUACGUAGGGGGCAAGCGUUAUCCGGAUUUACUGGGUGUAAAGGGAGCGCAGACGGCAGUGCAAGUCUGGAGUGAAAGCCCGGGGCCCAACCCCGGAACUGCUCUGGAAACUGUACGGCUGGAGUGCAGGAGAGGUAAGUGGAAUUCCUAGUGUAGCGGUGAAAUGCGUAGAUAUUAGGAGGAACACCAGUGGCGAAGGCGGCUUACUGGGCUGUAACUGACGCUGAGGCUCGAAAGCGUGGGGAGCAAACAGGAUUAGAUACCCUGGUAC
rnacentral:rRNA from 1 species